UACGUAGGGGGCAAGCGUUGUCCGGAAUCACUUGGCGUAAAGCGCAUGUAGGCGGGAUAUUAAGUCAGGUGUGAAAACUAUGGGCUCAACCUGUAGAUUGCAUCUGAAACUGGUAUUCUUGAGUAUUGGAGAGGAAAGUGGAAUUCCUAGUGUAGCGGUGAAAUGCGUAGAUAUUAGGAGGAACACCAGUGGCGAAGGCGACUUUCUGGCCAAAACUGACGCUGAGAUGCGAAAGCGUGGGGAGCAAACAGGAUUAGAUACU
rnacentral:rRNA from 1 species